GGUGGUAGCUCAGUGGUUAAGUUGUUGAACUACUGAUCAGAAGGUUGUGAGUUCAAAUCCCAGCACUGCCA